rnacentral:rRNA from 1 species
CGCGUAGGCGGCCUGCUAAGUCGAACGUGAAAUCCCUGGGCUUAACCCAGGAACUGCGUCCGAUACUGGUAGGCUUGAAUCCGGGAGAGGGAUGCGGAAUUCCAGGUGUAGCGGUGAAAUGCGUAGAUAUCUGGAGGAACACCGGUGGCGAAGGCGGCAUCCUGGACCGGUAUUGACGCUGAGGCGCGAAAGCCAGGGGGAGCAAACG